CGGGUGAGUAACGCGUGAGGAACCUGCCUCAAAGAGGGGGACAACAGUUGGAAACGACUGCUAAUACCGCAUAAGCCCACGGCUCGGCAUCGAGCAGAGGGAAAAGGAGCAAUCCGCUUUGAGAUGGCCUCGCGUCCGAUUAGCUAGUUGGUGAGGUAACGGCCCACCAAGGCGACGAUCGGUAGCCGGACUGAGAGGUUGAACGGCCACAUUGGGACUGAGAUACGGCCCAG
rnacentral:rRNA from 1 species